UGACUGGCGAAAUCAGUUGGUUACAGCGUGGUGCUGAUAACACCAAGGUCGCAGGUUCAAUUCCUGUAAGGGAAUAU